rnacentral:tRNA from 1 species
GGGAAAGUGGCUCAGUGGUAGAGUGCUUGCCUUGCAUGCAUGAGGUCCUGGGUUCGAUUCCUCAGUACCA